AUUGAACGCUGGCGGCAGGCCUAACACAUGCAAGUCGAGCGGAUGAAGGGAGCUUGCUCCUGGAUUCAGCGGCGGACGGGUGAGUAAUGCCUAGGAAUCUGCCUGGUAGUGGGGGAUAACGUCCGGAAACGGGCGCUAAUACCGCAUACGUCCUGAGGGAGAAAGUGGGGGAUCUUCGGACCUCACGCUAUCAGAUGAGCCUAGGUCGGAUUAGUUAGUUGGUGGGGUAAAGGCCUACCAAGGCGACGAUCCGUAACUGGUCUGAGAGGAUGAUCAGUCACACUGGAACUGAGACACGGUCCAGACUCCUACGGGAGGCAGCAGUGGGGAAUAUUGGACAAUGGGCGAAAGCCUGAUCCAGCCAUGCCGCGUGUGUGAAGAAGGUCUUCGGAUUGUAAAGCACUUUAAGUUGGGAGGAAGGGCAGUAAAUUAAUACCUUGCUGUUUUGACGUUACCAACAGAAUAAGCACCGGCUAACUUCGUG
rnacentral:rRNA from 1 species